AGUGUAAUUCCUCGUCUACCUACGUUCAUCCGUAGGUGAGGACUAUUACUUGAAUACUUGCCCCCUCCUUUUGCUCGCCUUUCUGCGACAGGGGCUGAUUGUGUUUCCUCGUCUACCUGCGUUCAUCCGUGGGUGAGGAAUGUUCUUGAGCACGUCCCUCGUCUAAUCCUACGUUCUUCCGUAGGUGGGGUUUACUCUUGAGUACUUGCCCGUCUGUCUACAUUUUUGUAGAAUGGGGUGUGUGUUUAGCCGACGUGUCCCCCGUCUAACCUACGUUCUUCCGUAGGUGGGGUUCACUUUUGCCGCUGUGUUUCCCGUCUAACCUACGUUCUUCCGUAGGUGGGGUUCACUCUUUGCCGCUGUGUUCCCCGUCUAACCUACGUUCUUCCGUAGGUGGGGUUCACUCUUGAGUACAUCCCUCGUCUAACACUACGUUUCCGUAGGUGAGGUUCACUCUUGCCGAUGUGUUCCCCGUCUAACACUACGUUCUUCCGUAGGUGGGGUUCACUUUUGAGUACGUCCCUCGUCUAACACUACGUUUCCGUAGGUGAGGUGCACUCUUGCCGGUGUGUUCCCCGUCUAACACUACGUUCUUCCGUAGGUGGGGUUCACUUUUGAGUACGUCCCUCGUCUAACACUACGUUUCCGUAGGUGAGGUUCACUCUUUGCUUUGGGUGGGAUACGCAUCCUGAUUCUGUUACCAUUAAGACUUUCUCUAUCCGCGUUCUUCCGCAGGUAGAGUUAAUUUGGCGUCCUACUUUGUUACUGCGUCCAGUAAUAGUAGGAGUUCAAAUAUCUUUAUAUGGCUUAGCUCAUUUUGCUGUUGUAUCCCCGUCCGGGUUGUGGACUUCCACGAUUCCUUAGGAGCAUUUCGUGUUACACCCUCCUGUCUUGGUGUGCCUCUGCAACUCCAACUUGUCUGGGUUCUUUUUUCCGCAUCCCUUUUGUGUAGGAGAAAAAGUCGAUCCCUUGUUGGUUUUGGUCGACUUUUGCUAAAUGUCGAUCUCAUGUUGAAUUUCCUCGAUUUUCGCUAAAUGUCGAUCUCUUGUUGAAGUUGGUCGACUUUUGUCAAAAAGUCGAUUCCUGGUGCUUUAGGUCAAAAGUCGAUCCCUUGCGUAAAAAGUCGACUUUGCCAAUUUUUGUCCUUUUGUGCUGUCCUAGGGUCUAUAAAUAGGACCCCUAGGUUCUCCUUUUCCUUCAUCCAUCCAUGGCUCUUCUUGUGAGUCUCUUUGCUGAUUUUAUUCAGGGAGAGAUUGAGGAGCUGGAUCGAAUUCUGAAUAUUUUAGAUCCUCGGUCUUCAACCUUGGAUCUUCCUUUUCUGCGCCAGCUUAUUGUUGAGCGGCAGAGUGUUGCUGUUGCUGCUCGGGAGUCCAUUUUCGAAGAAUGGUCUGGUGGCGAUCUUCCGCCUACCUCUUCUUCUGCUAUUCCUCCCCGUGGCCGACGUCGGAGGCGUCCCCGCCGCGGUGCUUCUCCGCUGGAUCAGGUCCCUCGUCGCUUGCGUCGCCGUAUUAAUUUU
rnacentral:lncRNA from 1 species